GGUCCGGGUCGGCGGCUGCACUGCGGAUGAGACCGGUGCGACUCAUGAAGGUGUUCGUCACCCGCAGGAUACCCGCCGAGGGUAGGGUCGCGCUCGCCCGGGCGGCAGAUGGUGGCUGGACCUCGUGGAAGCCCCUCUGGCUGUGUGGCUAUGGACUCACGCAGAGCACUGUCGGCAUCAUCGGGCUGGGGCGCAUAGGCCAGGCCAUUGCUCGGCGUCUGAAACCAUUCGGUGUCCAGAGAUUUCUGUACACAGGGCGCCAGCCCAGGCCUGAGGAAGCAGCGGAAUUCCAGGCAGAGUUUGUGUCUACCCCUGAGCUGGCUGCCCAAUCUGAUUUCAUCGUCGUGGCCUGCUCCUUAACACCUGCAACCGAGGGACUCUGCAACAAGGACUUCUUCCAGAAGAUGAAGGAAACAGCUGUGUUCAUCAACAUCAGCAGGGGCGACGUCGUAAACCAGGACGACCUGUACCAGGCCUUGGCCAGUGGUAAGAUUGCAGCUGCUGGACUGGAUGUGACAAGCCCAGAACCACUGCCUACAAACCACCCUCUCCUGACCCUGAAGAACUGUGUGAUCCUGCCCCACAUUGGCAGUGCCACCCAC
rnacentral:sRNA from 1 species